AUUGAACGCUGGCGGCAGGCCUAACACAUGCAAGUCGAACGAGUGGCGGACGGGUGAGUACUGUCUGGGAAACUGCCCGAUGGAGGGGGAUAACUUCUGGAAACGGUAGCUAAUACCGCAUACCCUCGGAUGUGCCCAGAUGGGAUUAGCUAGUGGGUGGGGUAACGGCUCACCUAGGCGACGAUCCCUAGCUGGUCUGAGAGGCUGACCAGCCACACUGGAACUGAGACACGGUCCAGACUCCUACGGGAGGCAGCAGUGGGGAAUAUUGCACAAUGGGCGCAAGCCUGAUACAGCCAUGCCGCGUGUAUGAAGAAGGCCUUCGGGUUGUAAAGUACUGUCAGCGAGGAGGCGUUACUCGAAGAAGAAGCACCGGCUAACUACGUGCCAGCAGCCGCGGUAAUUC
rnacentral:rRNA from 1 species